UACGUAGGGUGCGAGCGUUGUCCGGAAUUACUGGGCGUAAAGAGCUCGUAGGUGGUUUGUCGCGUUGUUCGUGAAAACUCACAGCUUAACUGUGGGCGUGCGGGCGAUACGGGCAGACUUGAGUACUGCAGGGGAGACUGGAAUUCCUGGUGUAGCGGUGGAAUGCGCAGAUAUCAGGAGGAACACCGGUGGCGAAGGCGGGUCUCUGGGCAGUAACUGACGCUGAGGUGCGAAAGCGUGGGGAGCAAACAGG
rnacentral:rRNA from 1 species